rnacentral:rRNA from 1 species
AUUGAACGCUGGCGGCAGGCCUAACACAUGCAAGUCGAACGAGUGGCGGACGGGUGAGUAAUGUCUGGGAAACUGCCUGAUGGAGGGGGAUAACUACUGGAAACGGUAGCUAAUACCGCAUACCAUCAGAUGUGCCCAGAUGGGAUUAGCUUGUUGGUGGGGUAACGGCUCACCAAGGCGACGAUCCCUAGCUGGUCUGAGAGGAUGACCAGGCACACUGGAAAUUGGAACCGGUCCAGACUCCUACGGGAGGAAGCAGUGGGGAAUAUUUGCAAAUGGGCGCAAGCCCUAUGCAGCCAUGCCGCGUGGAAUAAGAAGGCCUUCGGGUUUGAAAGUACUUUUAGCGGGGAGGCGUUACCCGCAGAAGAAGCACCGGCUAACUCCGUGCCAGCCGCCGCGGUAAUAC